UGGGGAAUAUUGGACAAUGGGGGCAACCCUGAUCCAGCGAUGCCGCGUGAGUGACGAAGGCCUUAGGGUUGUAAAACUCUUUCGUCGGGGACGAUAAUGACGGUACCCGAAGAAGAAGCUCCGGCUAACUUCGUGCCAGCAGCCGCGGUAAUACGAAGGGAGCUAGCGUUGUUCGGAAUCACUGGGCGUAAAGCGCACGUAGGCGGAUAGUUAAGUCAGGGGUGAAAUCCUGGGGCUCAACCCCAGAACUGCCUUUGAUACUGGCUGUCUCGAGGUCGAGAGAGGUUGGUGGAAUUCCUAGUGUAGAGGUGAAAUUCGUAGAUAUUAGGAAGAACACCAGUGGCGAAGGCGGCCAACUGGCUCGAUACUGACGCUGAGGUGCGAAAGCGUGGGGAGCAAACAGGAUUAGAUACCCAAGUAGUCCCUGAGCGGGCUGGCAAGGCGCAU
rnacentral:rRNA from 1 species